rnacentral:rRNA from 1 species
UGGGGAAUAUUGGACAAUGGGCGCAAGCCUGAUCCAGCCAUGCCGCGUGAGUGACGAAGGCCUUAGGGUUGUAAAGCUCUUUUGGCGGGGAAGAUAAUGACGGUACCCGCAGAAUAAGCUCCGGCUAACUUCGUGCCAGCAGCCGCGGUAAUACGAAGGGAGCUAGCGUUGUUCGGAAUCACUGGGCGUAAAGCGCACGUAGGUGGGCAGUUAAGUCAGGGGUGAAAGCCCGAGGCUCAACCUCGGAAUUGCCUCUGAUACUGGCUGUCUAGAGUUCGAGAGAGGUGAGUGGAAUUCCUAGUGUAGAGGUGAAAUUCGUAGAUAUUAGGAGGAACACCGAUGGCGAAGGCAGCCCCCUGGGUCAACACUGACGCUCAUGCACGAAAGCGUGGGGAGCAAACAGGAUUAGAUACCCCUGUAGUCCCUGAGCGGGCUGGCAAGGCGCAU